rnacentral:rRNA from 1 species
UACGAAGGGGGCUAGCGUUGCUCGGAAUCACUGGGCGUAAAGGGUGCGUAGGCGGGUCUUUUAAGUCAGGGGUGAAAUCCUGGAGCUCAACUCCAGAACUGCCUUUGAUACUGGGAGACUUGAGUCCGGGAGAGGUGAGUGGAACUGCGAGUGUAGAGGUGAAAUUCGUAGAUAUUCGCAAGAACACCAGUGGCGAAGGCGGCUCACUGGCCCGGUACUGACGCUGAGGUGCGAAAGCGUGGGGAGCAAACAGG